UACGAAGGGGGCUAGCGUUGUUCGGAAUUACUGGGCGUAAAGGGCGCGUAGGCGGCGUGUCAAGUCAGGCGUGAAAGCCCCGGGCUCAACCUGGGAACCGCGCUUGAGACUGGCAUGCUCGAGUUCGGGAGAGGAUGGUGGAAUUCCCAGUGUAGAGGUGAAAUUCGUAGAUAUUGGGAAGAACACCGAUGGCGAAGGCAGCCAUCUGGACCGACACUGACGCUGAGACGCGAAAGCGUGGGGAGCAAACAGG
rnacentral:rRNA from 1 species